UUCGCCGGUCGCGCACGCCUUCUCCGAACUGCGCCCGCGCAAGCGUGAUAUGAACAUUAAUGUGUGUCUGUGUGUGUGACAACUAGGAUACUGUGAUUUGGAAUUUUACUAUUUGUUGGUUGACUCGAAACAAAAAUGCAGACGAAGAACAUAAACCUAACCCAGGAACAGAAGAAUCAAGAUUGUAUUGAUAAACUAUGUCGACAAGACAAUGAAAUGCCUGGAAGCCAGUACUUCCUCACCCAAGUCACGGGCGCAACAGUUGGUUCCACGUAUUACGGUCAGUA